rnacentral:sRNA from 1 species
UAUAAGAUGGAUAACUAUAACUUUUCACCCGAAAGCAGACGUAAUCUGAUUAUAUCAUCGUGUCUGUUUUUGGGCAAUAUAAAAAGAACCUGGCGAAAAUGUCAGGUUCUUUCUU